ensembl:lncRNA
AGAUUAAUUCGUUUCCCCGUAAUUAAAUAAACAACACUCUCUACGUGGCUAUAUAGAAUAAACUAAAAUGAAGAAAGAACGUGUUGCGGAAAAUAUGGAGAAGUACAACUAGAGAAGUGCAACGUACUUCAGCAGAAUCCAGGUUGCAUCAUGUUGUGCUCCACUACAUCAUGUUAGUAUAUAUGGCGGAGAAGGCAAAAUGCAGUAACAGGAUGUGACAGACAACACUUAGCAAAAAUAUUCACUUAUUUGACUCAGAUACUUGCUAUCAGUUUGAAUUGGGAUACAUGGUACCAAGCAAAGCUGACAGAUAGAAGCAAACUCAGCAAGGAACUCACCCCACGUAGAUCCAAAAGCUUCUUGUCUCAUACCCAGUACUCGCUCUCCUGGUGGUCACUGCUCUCCUCAGCUCUCCUCCUCACCAUUCCUUUCCUUGAUGCAUUAGCAUCUCCAAGGAGUCUUCUGGGCAGUGACAAUAGUGGGAUGCAGACCCAAGCUGGCCUGGAUUUACACCCUUGGUCCCCUGGAGAAAUCAUUGGGUGGUUGUUUAAAGCUGGUACAGCAUUGAAUACAGCAGAGGAGCCUUGACCUUUAUUUGUAAGCAUGGAAAUAAGGUAAGGAUGAAAGAUUGCUUUUCCUCCAGCUCAUAGGCAGGGAUCAGGAGGCCCUCCAGAGAAGCAGGGAGGUGGAAAGUCCCCAUUCAAUUUCUCUCCUCGCCUCCUUUCCCGUGCUGGCAGCAGAGGCCAGUAGUGCUAUGCAGAAGCCGUGCUCUACGGCAGCGAGAGGUGAAGGGAAGAAUCGCACAUGUUGCAGCUCCCUCGGGCUGCUGGAAGUAUAAGCAGUGAAUCAGCAGGGCUGAGGACCUGGCUGUUUUGACCCCAGCCCAGCUCUUUUUAGUCAAUUAGUUUAAGGCAAAUCCUUCCCUGGGGCUGGACACAGACACAAGCUCACCUGGUGCUUCAUGCUGUGCUGAUGCAACGAUGUAAGGUAUCGAUGUUCAUGGGCUACCUGAGGGCAAGAGUUGUGAGUGGUGCUGCAAUCUCUGCUGCUCGCAUUAUGACUCAGUGGUACCAAUAGGAUCUGUGUAGUGCAUCAGGGGAAGAAAGAGGACCCCUAACCCGAGGAAAUACAGGUAAUCUUAGAAUAGUCUUAUUUCCAUUAAAAGUGAUUUCAUCUAGAGUGUGCUGAGUGGCAAAUUUACCCAGGAGGUUUAACUUGCUUCUCUGUCUUCACAUUUUCAGAAGUUUAAUUUUAGUAAAUUUGUACUGUGCUCAAAAUAAACCAAGAGGUAGUUCCACAAACGGGUUCAAAUGCAGGAACUGCUGUUGUGAUGGAGCUCUGGAUGUCCCUUUCAGUACCAUCACCUGGCAUUUGAAAGCUUGUCAUGGUGCGUAUCAACCCUCAGGAGAUCUUCUGAUCUCCCCACGUUAUCACAGCUUCACACUGAAGUGGGUUCAUUGGAGAUACAGCACUGAAUGCAUUCUGCAUGCCAGACCCACAAAAUGUAGGCAGCGAUUGUACUGCUUCUUGUACGUGGUGCUGCAUUCACCCUACACAGUCAUUCCAUUCGCCAGCCCCCCUUUUCUGGCAGAAGUCAUUGCUGGAUCCCUGAAGUCCAGUGAAUUUGAAGAUCCACCAGGUCAUUAUCAUCUGUGGGCUGGAAAAGCUUCUUUUUGGAUAUUAAACAAUUAAAAGAGGGAAACCCUCCCCACACAAACCCAUCCCACAGCUCCCAACCUCCAUAGGCACAGCGCUGGCCUACCCAGCUGGCAGAGGGCCACGCUGUGUUGAGGGCGCAAACUUGGGUGAGGAUGCUGAGGAUCUGGUUGCCACUUCAGCCAAGAAAUGAAGAAGGAUUCACAGCACUUCUGUGGUGCAUUCUGGGUCUGUCUGCAUUUUCCAAGCAAAAAUUUAAUCAUGCAAAUAUUUACAGAAAUUUGAGAAAAAAAUAAAGACCAGUGAAAGCCGCCGCAGUGAACUUCUAAUUACAAAUCCACCAAGUGUUUAUGAAUAAAUUUAUCUAUUAUUUGUCUUGCUCUAGCACUGCGCAUACUUUGCCUUGUACCAUUACAGUCUGAAGGAAACAAUAUGCGGCAUGAAAAUGAAAACAAUUUGACUUAAUUAUUUAUACUAUUACCACCCUUUUGAAUUAAG